UACAGAGGAUGCAAGCGUUAUCCGGAAUGAUUGGGCGUAAAGCGUCUGUAGGUGGCUUUUUAAGUCCGCCGUCAAAUCCCAGGGCUCAACUCUGGACAGGCGGUGGAAACUACCAAGCUGGAGUACGGUAGGGGCAGAGGGAAUUUCCGGUGGAGCGGUGAAAUGCGUAGAGAUCAGGAAGAACACCCGUGGCGCAAGCGACCACCUGGCCGAGACCUGACGCUGAGGCACGAGAGCGUGGGGAGCGAACCGG
rnacentral:rRNA from 1 species